ACUUGUGAAGUGCUUUACAUAGAAUAAAUUAUGAUUGUUAUUCUGUUUCUAGAUUGAUGCUGAGCUUAUAAAUGAUAAGGAAAACAAGGAAACUGAAGCAGAUAAGGACUCAACAGAGGGUGAGAAAACAGAAACGGAACAACCAGCU